GCUGGGCGUGGUGGCGCCUGCCUGUAGUCCCAGCUACUCGGGAGGCUGAGGUGGGAGGAUCGCUUGAGCCCAGGAGUUCUGGGCUGUAGUGCACUAUGCCAAUCAGGUGUCUGCACUAAGUUUGGCAUCAAUAUGGUGACCUCCUGGGAGCGGGGACCACCAGGAUGCCUAAGGAGGGGUGAGUGGGCCCAGGUUGGAAAUGGAGCAGGUCAAAACUCCUGUGCUGAUCAGUAGUAGGAUCGCGCCUGUGAAUAGCGUGAAAAAAAAAAAAAAAGUAAAAAACAAAAAAACUUUGU
ensembl:misc_RNA Metazoa_SRP Metazoan signal recognition particle RNA